rnacentral:rRNA from 1 species
CGCUAGCGGCAGGCCUAAUACAUGCAAGUCGAACGGGAUAGGCGGUAGCAAUAUUGCCUUGAGAGUGGCGCACGGGUGCGUAACACGUAUGCAAUCUGCCCCUAACAGGAAGAUAGCCCGGCGAAAGUCGGAUUAAUACUCCAUAACAUUGUAGUGUGGCAUCACACAGCAAUUAAAGCUCAGGCGGUUAGGGAUGAGCAUGCGCGACAUUAGCUAGAUGGCGAGGUAACGGCUCACCAUGGCUACGAUGUCUAGGGGGUCUGAGAGGAUUAUCCCCCACACUGGUACUGAGACACGGACCAGACUCCUACGGGAGGCAGCAGUAGGGAAUAUUGGGCAAUGGACGCAAGUCUGACCCAGCCAUGCCGCGUGCGGGAUGACUGCCCUAUGGGUUGUAAACUGCUUUUGUACAGGAAGAAACCCCUUUACGUGUAGAGGGCUGACAUUACUGUAAGAAUAAGGAUCGGCUAACUCCGUGCCAGCAGCCGCGGUAAUACGGAGGAUCCAAGCGUUGUCCGGAUUUAUUGGGUUUAAAGGGUGCGUAGGCGGACCAUUAAGUCAGAGGUGAAAGUUUGCAGCUUAACUGUAAAAUUGCCUUUGAAACUGGUGGUCUUGAGUAUAGUUGAGGUGGGCGGAAUGUGUCAUGUAGCGGUGAAAUGCUUAGAUAUGAUACAGAACACCGAUUGCGAGGGCAGCUCACUAAACUGUAACUGACGCUGAGGCACGAAAGCGUGGGGAGCGAACAGGAUUAGAUACCCUGGUAGUCCACGCCCUAAACGUUGAAUACUCGUUGUUGGCGA